UACGUAGGUGGCAAGCGUUGUCCGGAUUUACUGGGCGUAAAGAGCGCGCAGGCGGUCGUUCAAGUCGCGUGUGAAAGCCCCCGGCUCAACUGGGGAGGGUCACGCGAUACUGAUCGACUCGAAGGCAGGAGAGGGUAGUGGAAUUCCCGGUGUAGUGGUAAAAUGCGUAGAUAUCGGGAGGAACACCAGUGGCGAAGGCGACUACCUGGCCUGUUCUUGACGCUGAGGCGCGAAAGCUAGGGGAGCAAACGGG
rnacentral:rRNA from 1 species